rnacentral:sRNA from 1 species
GGAAGGAUCAUUACAGAAUUGUCAACGGGUUGUUGCUGGUCCUCAAACGGGGACACGUGCACGCUCUGUUUACACAUCCACUCACACCUGUGCACCCUCUGUAGUUCUACGGUCUGGGGGACCCUGUCUUCCUGCCGUGGUUCUACGUCUUUACACACACACUGUAAUAAAGUCUUAUGGAAUGUAUGCCGCGUCUAACGCAAUACAAUACAACUUUCAGCAACGGAUCUCUUGGCUCUCGCAUCGAUGAAGAACGCAGCGAAAUGCGAUAAGUAAUGUGAAUUGCAGAAUUCAGUGAAUCAUCGAAUCUUUGAACGCACCUUGCGCCCCUUGGCUAUUCCGAGGGGCAUGCCUGUUUGAGUAUCAUGAACACCUCAACUCUCAUGGUUCGCCGUGAUGAGUUUGGACUCUGGGGGUUUUGCUGGCCUGUGGUCGGCUCCCCUCAAAUGAAUCAGCCUCCCAGUGUUUGGUGGCAUCACGGGUGUGAUAAAUAUCUACGCUCGCAGUUGU